GCACUGCUGAGAGGGGGCUUCUCUCACGGAGUGCACCUCAAAUACCAGGGCCGGUGUGCUGGGGGUGCGGACAACCUGGGCACAUGCCCCGGGAGUGCUCGGUGAUGGAGGCGGGGCAGGUGUUGCCGGGCCUCCAGCAUCCGCCCCCGCUCUAGGAGAGACGUACGGCGUACCGUGUCUUCUGUGAUCGUGUCCUGCCUCACGACCUCCACCUGGAUCUUUGCUUGCCCUCCCCGAUCCUUGACUACUGCUUAGAACCGGACAUCCUUGCCUCUCUCCAGACCCCGACCGCUUGCCUCCCUGUUGACAGCCUCUUUGCCUUCCCCCUUGGAUUCUACGAAAGAAACAUCCAACAUGCACAGGCAACACCCUCUGGUAAAUUCCACAUUGUUAUUUCCACACAUCGUCCGCAUUCAUUCUCUAGUGGUAGCAUACACACCCGACACAUUCAUCAAAGGUUUUAAUAAACCUUCUAAAACCGCA